GCCCUUACACUAGUUCUGAGGCAGUCUGACACACUGAGCUUCUGCAGAUAUACAUGCUAUGAGUUGUAAUUAUUACUCUACUGAACCCUACUUCACGCCACCACUUGACAUCUAAAACUAAACAUAUAUUGAAUUUUGAAAUUAUUCUAUCUCAACUGUUAUCUCUCUCCCUGGUUAAAUUUAUUUUCUUAUUUCUUCAAGAUCUUUGAACAAAAAAAAUCUUCUUCAAGAUCUAUUCGUAUUAUCCUCUACAAAUCCAGUUUUAGAUUCAACUCCCCAAACUACAUUCAUCUCCCUAUCAUCAGAUCCGCCAUGUUUCGUUUCUAAAAAGAAGAAACCAUAGACUCCGUCAAGUCCCAUCUCGAUAAUUGCCACCUCCUCACCGCCAUCAAAUACACAGCCUCACCAUCAAGCAGCUCCAAGACCUUUAAACCCGAUCCAGUUCUGUCCAUUCACAGGCACUAGAUUACCUUUUGUCUGUAUCCUCUCUUUCUCUCUGAUAUGGGCAACAAAAACGCGAGAGACUCUCGAAGCCAACCACAACCCAUCUCCGCUCGAAGACAGCGAAUGUGCUGAGAUUAACUCUAGUCAACAACCCAUGUCUUUCUUCCUCCGCACCUCCUCCUGAGAUCAUGGGUCUAUCUCUUCCUCAGACUCUUGUGCUACUCAAUCUCCUCUCAUGUUUUUUUCUCAGGUUCUCUCUCCCAGAUUCACUUAUCUUAAAGACAUAUCUGAAAAAGAUUUACAGUUUGUAUCUAUCUUUAUUGUAGGUGUGCUCUUUUCCAAUUUAUGAUGGGCAUGGUGGUUGUUUAGCUGCAGAGUUUGCUAAGAAGCAUCUUCACCUUAACGUUUUUCAGCUAGGUUACCGCGUGAGUUGUAGAAUUUCUAUAUGAUUGGGAAAGAUAAAAUGAUCGAACCUUUUGAAGGGCUCUCAAGCUAGAUAUGACUCAGACUCAUCAAACAAAGCUCAACUUUUUUUACCAAGAUUGAACAGCUUACACAGAUGCCUCGGAAAUUAGAGAAGGACAUACAAGGGAAAAACAUGAAAAUUGUGGUUUGGUGAUUGUGUAUGACAAUUGUAACCGCUUAGCAUAUUUAAUAUCAUAUCCUAAUAACUAAGUGGAUGUGUAGUUGUUAUCCAAUUAUCAUUGAGUUUAUACUUGCAUUUCCCAA